rnacentral:rRNA from 1 species
UACAGAGGCCUCAAGCGUUAGGCGGAAUCACUGGGCUUAAAGCGUGUGUAGGUGGAUGCCUAAGUACCUUGUGAAAUCCCACGGCUUAACCAUGGAAUUGCUUGGUAUACUGGGUGUCUUGAGCCACUCAGGGGCUACCGGAACAAACGGUGGAGCGGUGAAAUGCGUAGAUAUCGUUUGGAACGCCAAUGGUGAAAACAGACAGCUGGGAGUGUGCUGACGCUGAGACACGAAAGCCAGGGGAGCGAACGGG